rnacentral:piRNA from 1 species
UGGUCAGUUUUUUUUUUCUUUGUGAUCGGU